rnacentral:rRNA from 1 species
UACGGGGGGGGCAAGCGGUGUUCGGAAUUACUGGGCGUAAAGGGCUCGUAGGCGGCCAACUAAGUCGGAUGUGAAAUCCCCAAGCUUAACUUGGGAACUGCAUCCGAUACUGGAUGGCUUGAAUCCGGGAGAGGGAUGCAGAAUUCCAGGUGUAGCGGUGAAAUGCGUAGAUAUCUGGAGGAAUACCGGUGGCGAAGGCGGCAUCCUGGACCGGCAUUGACGCUGAGGAGCGAAAGCUAGGGGAGCAAACGGG